rnacentral:piRNA from 1 species
AAGGUAAUGUGCCUGGAUGUGGAUGUAGGC